UCACUUUUGUCAUCCAGGCUGGAGUGCAGUGGCGGGAUGAGAGUUCACUAUGAUCUCGACUUCCUGGACUCAGAUGGUUCUCCCACUUCAGCUUCCGGAUCUAAUAUUUCAAUAAUUUCAAGAACACUGCAUUCAUUCCUCUCCACAUGAGCAAUUGCCAAAAGAGACUCACCUGGCACUAAGGACUGCUCUGGUGGUCUUCGGAGGCUCCUGGGAUCGACUGCUUGGACAGAGGU
rnacentral:lncRNA from 10 species